ACAUGGAUCCACUCAGAAGGCACUGGAGACAAGGCACCGGAGCCCAGCCACUCGGAGCUGAUUUGGGACGGUGGGGCGAUCCCAGAAGACCCAGGUCCUACCGAGAAGCUCCCUGGCACUGUGUCUGGUGCUGCAGAAGGAGCAGAGCUGAGGAGGACGUGGUCCCUGCCCUCCAAGAGCUCCCACCUGCGGAAGAUGCUCUUCUCCUGGACUCCGUUUCCCCAUCUGAACACUGGGGACAAGAAUCUGCACUGCCCAGUGAUUCCACAUAUUGGAGCAUCUGUGUACAGCAGUGCUCUCUUCCUCUGGCAGCUUCAUCCCCCCUUUCCUGGGGGAGCUGCUCCCUCUCGCACUCAGACUGGGUGGAGCUUGCCCCCAGUUCCAGGAGGACCCUUGACCAGAGCCCGCUAGCCAGCACACUCCCACCCUGGCCACGGUGACUAACUCAGUCAGCCCAGCGAGAGACUCUUCUGGGACUCGAUCAAACUGCUGGGAAAGGGAAAUCCUUCCAUUGCAGGGUGCGGAGAAGUGGUGUCAUUCUGGAGCUGCCGGUGGUCGUUGUGGCACUAAAACAGAAGUGGGGUGGUGAGACUGAUCAAAUCCUGGUGAUGAGGUCACCUUGGCACGGAACCCACUGUACCUGAUGUCAGUAAUACCCCUUUUCAGUUACUUUAGCCAAUAAACUCCCUUCUUUGCUUGUGCUA